AACCCGACUCCACGAAGUUGGAUUCGCUAGUAAUCGCGCAUCAGCCAUGGCGCGGUGAAUACGUUCCCGGGCCUUGUACACACCGCCCGUCAAGCCAUGGGAGCCGGGGGCGCCUGAAGUCCGGGACCGCGAGGACCGGCCUAGGGCGAAACUGGUAACUGGGGCUAAGUCGUAACAAGGUAGC
rnacentral:rRNA from 1 species